GUCUCAGAAUGACGCCCUUGAAAGACGUGUUCCCUUUUCACCAAUGCACAGACCCAGAAGACCCCUCCGUCCUGCAGCCCCUGCCAUGAGCCUUGGGCUCCUGUGCUGUGCGGCCUUUUCUCUCCUGUGGGCAGGUCCAGUGAAUGCUGGUGUCACUCAGACCCCAAAAUUCCAGGUCCUGAAGACAGGACAGAGCAUGACACUGCAGUGUGCCCAGGAUAUGAACCAUAACUACAUGUACUGGUAUCGACAAGACCCAGGCAUGGGGCUGAGGCUGAUUCAUUACUCAACUGGUGAGGGUACCACUGACAAAGGAGAAGUCCCCGAUGGCUACGAUGUCUCCAGAUCAAACACACAGAAUUUCCUGCUCAGGCUGGAGUCGGCUGCUCCCUCCCAGACAUCUGUGUACUUCUGUGCCAGCAGUGAAGCCACAGUGCUGCACGGCUGUCUCCUCUCUGCACAGAAAGGCAGAGGAGGCUCUGCCCUCCUCCCCCACCCCAGACUCAGUGAUGCCCUUGGUCCUAGCACCGGAAACUUUGGAGCCCCAGGGACCCUGACUUGGAGGAAAGACAAUGAGCUCAUCCCUCGGUGCCUGGUGUUGGGGGCACUGUUGGCGCAUCCUACAGAAUGUGCCCAGCAGACAGAGGAGCGGCUGUGGGAUGAGAAGGUGAACUCGGAGAUGCAGCGUGAGGCCUCCGGGUCCAGGCAGCAUGGGAGCCCAAAGCGACGUCCCAUGCGAUAA